GUGUGCUUAAUUGUCUUACACAUACACAAAAGCAGAUCAUCAAUCAGAUGUUUUAAAAAUCGAUAUACUGGCUAAAAGAAAAGAUGUGUAUUAUUUAAUAUAUCUUAAUUUAUUUCAUUAUUUGAGCAAUAUAUACUUUUACUCGUAUAUUAAAAUUGUUUUGUUUUUUUACACCAGUACAAUGUGUGUUUUACAUUGGAGGUGUGGACUAUCAACACACGCCCACUUUUUUCACACAUCAUUUUACAAGACACUAAGCCCUCGUCCCUAAGAGUAAAAUCACAGUAUUUCGGAAAACCAACGUGGUUGAAAAGACUUCGGCUUUCAAUUUUUUUGGGGGAAAAAAAUAAAUUGUUCCGGAAAUAAAAAUGGCAGGAACCUCUAAUGGUAAGUUUAUAUAUAAGAAAUAUUCAAAAUACUGUUGUUUAAAGCAAUUGUUUUUUUAAUAUUAUACAUGAUUAUUAAAUCAGACAUCGCUUAAAAGGCGAACUGCCCCUCUCUCUGCAGACACCAGGACUUCAGGCGAUAUGGGCUGAGAUUUUAGCGCUGAAUACUGACGAGUUUAAAAAUCUUGCUGAAAAUCGUAGCUCACAAGAGUGUAUUAACGAGUCGUCUGCACCUCGGACAGUUCAUGAAGAUGCACCAUCAGCGUGUAUAAAUGUGUCGUCACCCCUGACGAGUAUUCAUGAAAACACAUUACCACUAGCGUCUAUGAGUGAAAUCGUCAGCCGUGUCGACGACAAACGGUCUACCGGUCUACUAGAGGUCUACACAACAAGUACACGCGCAGGAACGAGCAGUAUGUAUUGUUAGAUCAGUCAUUGUUAUAUUUAUUAUUACCAAAAUAAUAUUAAUAAUCAUACCCUCCAUUUAUUUUAGGACGUAAAAGGAAUAUUGUGCCGAGAGACCGUCGUGUCGGUGGUGUAAAGCAGAAAGUAGUCACCACUACAGCACAGGUUCAUGUGGAUGCUACAUCUGACGAAAUAAGCGUUAUACCAAAUACACCUGAACCAAAACGACCAAGAAAAUCACAAGGUAUGUUAUCUCUAUUUAAUGAUAUAUAAAAAAAAAAAUGUACAUCUGGUUGAUAUGUUUACUCAUUAGCAUUAU